rnacentral:rRNA from 1 species
GAUGAACGCUGGCGGCGUGCCUAAUACAUGCAAGUCGAGCGAACAGACGAGGAGCUUGCUCCUCUGACGUUAGCGGCGGACGGGUGAGUAACACGUGGAUAACCUACCUAUAAGACUGGGAUAACUUCGGGAAACCGGAGCUAAUACCGGAUAAUAUAUUGAACCGCAUGGUUCAAUAGUGAAAGACGGUUUUGCUGUCACUUAUAGAUGGAUCCGCGCCGCAUUAGCUAGUUGGUAAGGUAACGGCUUACCAAGGCAACGAUGCGUAGCCGACCUGAGAGGGUGAUCGGCCACACUGGAACUGAGACACGGUCCAGACUCCUACGGGAGGCAGCAGUAGGGAAUCUUCCGCAAUGGGCGAAAGCCUGACGGAGCAACGCCGCGUGAGUGAUGAAGGUCUUCGGAUCGUAAAACUCUGUUAUUAGGGAAGAACAAAUGCGUAAGUAACUAUGCACGUCUUGACGGUACCUAAUCAGAAAGCCACGGCUAACUACGU